rnacentral:rRNA from 1 species
AACGAACGCUGGCGGCAUGCCUAACACAUGCAAGUCGAACGAGAUCUUCGGGUCUAGUGACGCACGGGUGCGUAACGCGUGGGAAUCUGCCCUUUGGUUCGGAAUAACAGUUGGAAACGACUGCUAAUACCGGAUGAUGACGAAAGUCCAAAGAUUUAUCGCCAGAGGAUGAGCCCGCGUAGGAUUAGCUAGUUGGUGUGGUAAAGGCGCACCAAGGCGACGAUCCUUAGCUGGUCUGAGAGGAUGAUCAGCCACACUGGGACUGAGACACGGCCCAGACUACUACGGGAGGCAGCAGUGGGGAAUAUUGGACAAUGGGCGAAAGCCUGAUCCGGCAAUGCCGCGUGAGUGAUGAAGGCCUUAGGGUUGUAAAGCUCUUUUACACGGGAUGAUAAUGACAGUACCGGGAGAAUAAGCUCCGGCUAACUCCGUGCCAGCCGCCGCGGUAA